AUUGAACGCUGGCGGCAUGCCUUACACAUGCAAGUCGAACGGUAACAGGUUAAGCUGACGAGUGGCGAACGGGUGAGUAAUAUAUCGGAACGUGCCCAGUCGUGGGGGAUAACUGCUCGAAAGAGCAGCUAAUACCGCAUACGACCUGAGGGUGAAAGCGGGGGAUCGCAAGACCUCGCGCGAUUGGAGCGGCCGAUAUCAGACUAGGUAGUUGGUGGGGUAAAGGCCCACCAAGCCAACGAUCUGUAGCUGGUCUGAGAGGACGACCAGCCACACUGGGACUGAGACACGGCCCAGACUCCUGCGGGAGGCAGCAGUGGGGAAUUUUGGACAAUGGGCGCAAGCCUGAUCCAGCCAUGCCGCGUGCGGGAAGAAGGCCUUCGGGUUGUAAACCGCUUUUGUCAGGGAAGAAAAGGCUUCUGCUAAUACCGGAGGCUCAUGACGGUACCUGAAGAAUAAGCACCGGCUAACUACGUGCCAGCCGCCGCAGUAA
rnacentral:rRNA from 1 species